AUUGAACGCUGGCGGUAUGCUUAACAUAUGCAAGUCGAACGGCAGCACGGUAUGUAGCAAUACAUAUGGGUGGCAAGUGGCGGACGGGUGAGUAACGCGUAGGAACCUGCCCUCAAGCGGGGGACAACCCGAGGAAACUCGGGCUAAUACCGCAUAAACUCGGAAGAGAAAAGCUGGGGUAACCUGGCACUUGAGGAGGAGCCUGCGUCUGAUUAGCUAGUUGGUAGGGUAAAGGCCUACCAAGGCGAUGAUCAGUAGCUGGUCUGAGAGGAUGACCAGCCACACUGGAAAUGAGACACGGUCCAGACUCCUACGGGAGGAAGCAGUGGAGAAUAUUGGACGAUGGGGGAAACCCUGAUCCAGCAAUACCGCGUGUGUGAAGAAGGCCUUCGGGUUGUAAAGCACUUUAGUGGGGGAGGAAGGUUAGCAGUUUAAGAGAUGGCUAAUUUGACUGUACCCAAAGAAUAAGCACCGGCCAACUCUGUGCCAGCAGCCGCGGUAA
rnacentral:rRNA from 1 species